rnacentral:rRNA from 1 species
ACGCUCGACACCUACGGAGGCAGCAGUGGGGAAUAUUGCACAAUGGGGGAAACCCUGAUGCAGCGAUGCCGCGUGAAGGAAGAAGUAUCUCGGUAUGUAAACUUCUAUCAGCAGGGAAGAAAAUGACGGUACCUGACUAAGAAGCCCCGGCUAACUACGUGCCUGCAGCCGCGGUAAUCUGAGCGGGCUGGCAAGGC